GACGAACGCUGGCGGCGUGCUUAACACAUGCAAGUCGAACAGAAAGGCCCUGCUUUUGUGGGGUGCUCGAGUGGCGAACGGGUGAGUAACACGUGAGUAACCUGCCCUUGACUUUGGGAUAACUUCAGGAAACUGGGGCUAAUACCGGAUAGGAGCUCCUGCUGCAUGGUGGGGGUUGGAAAGUUUCGGCGGUUGGGGAUGGACUCGCGGCUUAUCAGCUUGUUGGUGGGGUAGUGGCUUACCAAGGCUUUGACGGGUAGCCGGCCUGAGAGGGUGACCGGCCACAUUGGGACUGAGAUACGGCCCAGACUCCUACGGGAGGCAGCAGUGGGGAAUAUUGCACAAUGGGCGGGAGCCUGAUGCAGCAACGCCGCGUGCGGGAUGACGGCCUUCGGGUUGUAAACCGCUUUCGCCUGUGACGAAGCGUGAGUGACGGUAAUGGGUAAAGAAGCACCGGCUAACUACGUG
rnacentral:rRNA from 1 species